GACGAACGCUGGCGGCGUGCUUAACACAUGCAAGUCGAACGAUGAACCACUUCGGUGGGGAUUAGUGGCGAACGGGUGAGUAACACGUGGGCAAUCUGCCCUGCACUCUGGGACAAGCCCUGGAAACGGGGUCUAAUACCGGAUACUGACCCUCGCAGGCAUCUGCGAGGUUCGAAAGCUCCGGCGGUGCAGGAUGAGCCCGCGGCCUAUCAGCUUGUUGGUGAGGUAAUGGCUCACCAAGGCGACGACGGGUAGCCGGCCUGAGAGGGCGACCGGCCACACUGGGACUGAGACACGGCCCAGACUCCUACGGGAGGCAGCAGUGGGGAAUAUUGCACAAUGGGCGAAAGCCUGAUGCAGCGACGCCGCGUGAGGGAUGACGGCCUUCGGGUUGUAAACCUCUUUCAGCAGGGAAGAAGCGAAAGUGACGGUACCUGCAGAAGAAGCGCCGGCUAACUACGUGCCAGCAGCCGCGGUAAUACGUAGGGCGCAAGCGUUGUCCGGAAUUAUUGGGCGUAAAGAGCUCGUAGGCGGCUUGUCGCGUCGGUUGUGAAAGCCCGGGGCUUAACCCCGGGUCUGCAGUCGAUACGGGCAGGCUAGAGUUCGGUAGGGGAGAUCGGAAUUCCUGGUGUAGCGGUGAAAUGCGCAGAUAUCAGGAGGAACACCGGUGGCGAAGGCGGAUCUCUGGGCCGAUACUGACGCUGAGGAGCGAAAGCGUGGGGAGCGAACAGGAUUAGAUACCCUGGUAGUCCACGCCGUAAACGGUGGGCACUAGGUGUGGGCAACAUUCCACGUUGUCCGUGCCGCAGCUAACGCAUUAAGUGCCCC
rnacentral:rRNA from 1 species